UACGGAGGGGGCUAGCGUUGUUCGGAAUUACUGGGCGUAAAGCGCGCGUAGGCGGAUCUGCAAGUCGGGGGUGAAAUCCCGAGGCUCAACCUCGGAACUGCCUUCGAUACUGCGGGUCUCGAGUCCGGGAGAGGUGAGUGGAAUUCCUAGUGUAGAGGUGAAAUUCGUAGAUAUCAGGAGGAACACGGUGGCGAAGGCGGCUUCCUGGACACUUACUGACGCUGAGACGCGAAAGC
rnacentral:rRNA from 1 species